rnacentral:rRNA from 1 species
GAUGAACGCUGGCGGCGUGCUUAAUACAUGCAAGUCGAACGGAAGCAGUAGCAAUAUUGCUUUAGUGGCGAACGGGUGAGUAACGCGUUGGUGACCUGCCCCGAAGAGAGGGAUAACAGUCCGAAAGGAUUGCUAAUACCCCAUGUGGUCAUUUGGAUUAGAUGCCUUUUGACUAAACGGAUUUAUUCGCUUCGGGAGGGGCCUGCGUCCCAUCAGCUAGUUGGUAGGGUAAUGGCCUACCAAGGCGAUGACGGGUAGGGGACCUGAGAGGGUGGCCCCCCACAAUGGAACUGAAACACGGUCCAUACACCUACGGGUGGCAGCAGUAGGGAAUAUUGGUUAAUCUGCGAAAGCGGGAACCAGCAACGCCGCGUGCGCGAUGAAGGCCUUCGGGUUGCAAAGCGCUUUUUAAGAGGAUGAGGAAGGACAGUACUUUUAGAAUAAGCCUCGGCUAACUACGUGCCAGCCGCCGCGGUAAGAC